CUACGCCGACUCUACGAUCUCAAAUACAGAUUGACAUAAGCUUAGAUGGAUCGUCCAGGGAAAACUCCGCAAGAGAAUACUGAUGACAAGCCAGCAACUGUCAGAGGGGUAAUUAUCCCAGAAAACAAUGAGGCAAGGCUUGCCCAGCUACAGCAAGCCUUAAACCUAUUUAGGAGUGGAUUGCAGCUAAUUUCUGAAGCCCUCAAUACCAUGGGACAGAUAAUUCCACCUGAACCAGAUCCUUAAUCCUAAGAA